rnacentral:rRNA from 1 species
AUACGUAGGUGGCAAACGUUGUCCGGAAUUACUGGGCGUAAAGGGCCCGUAGGCGGUCCAACAAGUCGUUUGUGAAAUCUCCCGGCUCAACUGGGAGUGGUCGAGCGAAACUGUUGGACUUGAGGAUGUCAGAGGAAGAUGGAAUUCCCGGUGUAGUGGUGAAAUGCGUAGAUAUCGGGAGGAACACCAGUGGCGAAAGCGGUCUUCUGGGGCAUUUCUGACGCUGAGGAGCGAAAGCGUGGGGAGCAAACCGGAUUAGAAACCCGGGUAGUCC